UCUAACGCGCGCAGUCGUACGCGCGACAUCUCGCAAGUUGUUCUAUUUGCGAAAGACGAAAAGUACCAACUACAGUUUUCGAAGCUCGUAAACCAAAAGUUAAAAACUUUUUCUCUUGUAUUGUUUCUUAAACAUAUUAACCAAGUGUCCUCCGCGGUUGUGUAAAGAAAACUUUUGUGGUUCAAAAAGUGAAAUAGCUUCGUUAGUUUCAUUGUCAGUUAAAAGGUUCGUUGUGUCAAGUUUUCUGAUCACGUGAUGUGUCAAUAUGUGCAGCAGUAGAAGGGAGGAACGGAUGGGUAAGUUAACAAGUACUCCUUCACAUGCUCAUAAUAAUAAUACGGAGGGUUACAAAUAGAGAUGAUUCAUAGUAGAUAUCCUUUUUUAGCGC